ACGAACGCUGGCGGCGUGCUUAACACAUGCAAGUCGAACGGAAAGGCCCUGCUUUUGUGGGGUGCUCGAGUGGCGAACGGGUGAGUAACACGUGAGUAACCUGCCCUUGACUUUGGGAUAACUUCAGGAAACUGGGGCUAAUACCGGAUAGGAGCUCCUGCUGCAUGGUGGGGGUUGGAAAGUUUCGGCGGUUGGGGAUGGACUCGCGGCUUAUCAGCUUGUUGGUGGGGUAGUGGCUUACCAAGGCUUUGACGGGUAGCCGGCCAGAGAGGGUGACCGGCCACAUUGGGACUGAGAUACGGCCCAGACUCCUACGGGAGGCAGCAGUGGGGAAUAUUGCACAAUGGGCGGAAGCCUGAUGCAGCAACGCCGCGUGCGGGAUGACGGCCUUCGGGUUGUAAACCGCUUUCGCCUGUGACGAAGCGUGAGUGACGGUAAUGGGUAAAGAAGCACCGGCUAACUACGUG
rnacentral:rRNA from 1 species